rnacentral:lncRNA from 1 species
GACAUUUGGGGAACCCAAGGCCCUGAGAAAGGCAGAAAAAUAACCCACGCAGGGGCUCUCAGCCCACAAAUGAAGCUGAGAACCGGGAAUGGAAAACAGGGAGGCAGUACAGAGGCAGGAAACUCAGGUGUCACAGCUUGGCUCAGCCUCAGGGCUUUUGCCUUUGCUGUUCCUGCAGCUUGGAAUGCACUCCCUCCACCUCCACCCAGAGCUCCCCACAACUGACCCUGCUUUCUUCUGCAAGCUCCAUUUCAUCAAGGGAAACGAUCCUUAUUGCCUCACCAUUUCCCACAUGAAGUCUGUAUUGACAUUCUCAUAGACCUGGGAUAUUGUGUCUGCAGCACAUAGUCCAAUUAUUUUCAUGUUAUCUACUGACAGCUCUAUUUGUCUCCCUGUUACACUGUGAGCUCCGUGAGGGCAGAAACAAUGUUUGUAUUUUCACUGCUGUGUCCCCAGUGCCUGGUCCGGGGCCCGGCACACAGCAGGCAUAUAAUAAGCAUGUGUUGAAUCAAUAAAGGCAUCAAAGAAU